UGUCUAUUAAUUGUAGACCUGUAUGAAAGGCACAAUGAGGGCCUAACUGUCUCUUAUAAUAAAUCAAUUAAACUGAUCUUUUAGUACAAAAGCUAAAAUGUCAACAUAAGACCAGAAGACCCUGUGAAGCUUUAACUAACCUAUUAAACCCAAUAAUAGCUACUUUCGGUUGGGGCGACCUUGGAAAAAAAAGAAACUUCCAAACUAUGGCCAAAACCCACAAAAGGCCCACAAGCCAACAACGACCCAGCACAGCUGAUAAUUGAACCAAGUUACUCCAGGGAUAACAGCGCUAUCUUCUUCAAGAGCCCAUAUCAAAAAGAAGGUUUACGACCUCGAUGUUGGAUCAGGACAUCCUAAUGGUGUAGCAGCUAUUAAGGGUUCGUUUGUUCAACGAUUAAUANU
rnacentral:rRNA from 1 species